CCCAAGCUUGCUUGGGUACUCGAGUGGCGAACGGGUGAGUAACACGUGGGUGAUCUGCCCUGCACUUCGGGAUAAGCCUGGGAAACUGGGUCUAAUACCGGAUAGGACAAUGGUUUGGAUGCCAUUGUGGAAAGUGUUUCGGUGUGGGAUGAGCUCGCGGCCUAUCAGCUUGUUGGUGGGGUAAUGGCCUACCAAGGCGUCGACGGGUAGCCGGCCUGAGAGGGUGUACGGCCACAUUGGGACUGAGAUACGGCCCAGACUCCUACGGGAGGCAGCAGUGGGGAAUAUUGCACAAUGGGCGCAAGCCUGAUGCAGCGACGCCGCGUGGGGGAUGACGGCCUUCGGGUUGUAAACUCCUUUCGCUAGGGACGAAGCGCAAGUGACGGUACCUGGAGAAGAAGCACCGGCUAACUACGUGCCAGCAGCCGCGGUAAUACGUAGGGUGCGAGCGUUGUCCGGAAUUACUGGGCGUAAAGAGCUCGUAGGUGGUUUGUCGCGUCGUUUGUGUAAGCCCGCAGCUUAACUGCGGGACUGCAGGCGAUACGGGCAUAACUUGAGUGCUGUAGGGGAGACUGGAAUUCCUGGUGUAGCGGUGGAAUGCGCAGAUAUCAGGAGGAACACCGAUGGCGAAGGCAGGUCUCUGGGCAGUAACUGACGCUGAGGAGCGAAAGCAUGGGUAGCGAACAGGAUUAGAUACCCUGGUAGUCCAUGCCGUAAACGGUGGGCGCUAGGUGUGAGUCCCUUCCACGGGGUUCGUGCCGUAGCUAACGCAUUAAGCGCCCCGCCUGGGGAGUACGGCCGCAAGGCUAAAACUCAAAGGAAUUGACGGGGGCCCGCACAAGCGGCGGAGCAUGUGGAUUAAUUCGAUGCAACGCGAAGAACCUUACCUGGGCUUGACAUACACCAGAUCGCCGUAGAGAUACGGUUUCCCUUUGUGGUUGGUGUACAGGUGGUGCAUGGUUGUCGUCAGCUCGUGUCGUGAGAUGUUGGGUUAAGUCCCGCAACGAGCGCAACCCUUGUCUUAUGUUGCCAGCAAUUCGGUUGGGGACUCGUGAGAGACUGCCGGGGUUAAC
rnacentral:rRNA from 1 species